CGGAGGAAGGUGGGGAUGACGUCAAAUCAUCAUGCCCCUUAUGUCUAGGGCUGCAAACAUGCUACAAUGGCCGGUACAAAGGGCUGCGAUACCGCGAGGUGGAGCGAAUCCCAAAAAGCCGGUCUCAGUUCGGAUUGGGGUCUGCAACUCGACCCCAUGAAGUUGGA
rnacentral:rRNA from 1 species